rnacentral:tRNA from 1 species
GGAAGUUAGCGUACUGGGUACAAAUCGGUCUUGAACACCGAGCCAUUGGCAACGAUGAGGGUUCGAUUCCUUUAACUUCCGCCA